GUGGAUAUAGUUCAGUUGGUAGAGUGCUUGCCUAGAAUGUACAAGGUCCUGGGUUCAAUUCCCAGUACCAUG
rnacentral:tRNA from 1 species